AAACACAACUCUCAGCAACGGANNNNNNNNNNNNUGCAACGAUGAAGAACGCAGCGAAAUGCGAUACGUAGUUGUGAAUUGCAGAAUUCCGCGAAUCAUCGAAUCUUUGAACGCAAGUUGCGCCCGAGGCUUGUCCGAGGGCAUUUCCGCUAGAGCGUCACCGCGCCCCCCCACCGAUCCACUCCCGGCGAGUCGGGUCGAGUGAAAGUGGCCAUCCCGGACGGUUUCAGGGUGUACCCUGG
rnacentral:rRNA from 1 species